rnacentral:rRNA from 1 species
AUGCAAGUCGAGGGGCAGCAUAAAUUACUUGUAAUUUGAUGGCGACCGGCGAACGGGUGCGUAACGCGUAUGCAACCUACCUUUUACUAGAGAAUAGCCAAGAGAAAUUUUGAUUAAUGCUCUAUACACUUUAAGACUCACAUGAGUCUAAAAGAAAAGCUCCGGCGGUAAAAGAUGGGCAUGCGUUCUAUUAGCUUGUAGGUGAGGUAACGGCUCACCUAAGCUUCGAUAGAUAGGGGUCCUGAGAGGGAGACCCCCCACACUGGUACUGAGACACGGACCAGACUUCUACGGAAGGCAGCAGUAAGGAAUAUUGGACAAUGGAGGCAACUCUGAUCCAGCCAUGCCGCGUGAAGGAAGAAGGCCCUAUGGGUCGUAAACUUCUUUUAUACAGGAAGAAAUCUUUCCACGUGUGGAAAGUUGACGGUACUGUAAGAAUAAGGAUCGGCUAACUCCGUGCCAGCAGCCGCGGUAAUACGGAGGAUCCAAGCGUUAUCCGGAAUUAUUGGGUUUAAAGGGUCCGCAGGCUGUUUGUUAAGUUAGAGGUGAAAUCCUACCGCUCAACGGUAGAACUGCCUUUAAAACUGGCAAACUUGAGUUAUUGUGAAGUAAUUAGAAUGUGUAGUGUAGCGGUGAAAUGCAUAGAUAUUACACAGAAUACCGAUUGCGAAAGCAGAUUACUAACAAUUAACUGACGCUGAGGGACGAAGGCGUGGGUAGCGAACAGGAUUAGAUACCCUGGUAGUCCACGCCGUAAACGAUGGUCACUAGCUGUUUGAUGUACAUUGGUACAUUGAGUGGCUAAGCGAAAGUGAUAAGUGACCCACCUGGGGAGUACGCUCGCAAGAG